rnacentral:rRNA from 2 species
UCUGGUGGCGAUAGCGAAGAGGUCACACCCGUUCCCAUACCGAACACGGAAGUUAAGCUCUUUAGCGCCAAUGGUAGUUGGGACUUUGUCCCUGUGAGAGUAGGACGUUGCCAGAC